GAUGAACGCUGGCGGCGUGCCUAAUACAUGCAAGUCGAGCGAACGGACGAGAAGUUUGCUUCUCUGAUGUUAUCGGCGGACGGGUGAGUAACACGUGGAUAACCUACCUAUAAGACAGGGAUAACAUCGGGAAACCGGAGCUAAUACCGGAUAAUAUAUUGAACCGCAUUGUGCAAAAGUGAAAGACGCUCUUGCUGUCACUAAUAGAUGGAUCCGUCCUGCAUUAGUAAGUUGGUAAGGUAACGGCUUACCAAGGCAACGAUGGAUACACGACCUGAGAGCGUGAACGCCCACCCGGGAACUGAGACACGGCCCACACUCCUACGGGAGGCAGCAGUAGAGACUCUUCCGCAAUGGGCGAAAGCGUGACGGAGCAACACCGCGUGAGUGAUGAAGGUCUUCGGAUCGUAAAACUCUGUUAUUAGGGAAGAACAUAUGUGUAAGUAACUGUGCACAUCUUGACGGUACCUAAUGAGAAAGCCACGGCUAACUACGUG
rnacentral:rRNA from 1 species